AGAGGCGCUUCAGAGACUGGAGGGAAGGACCUGCAGGAGCCAGGGCUGCCCGCCGAGCUGCAGUUGCCGCUGCUGCCGCUGUCGCUGUCGCGCUGCCGCCGCCGCCGCCGCUGUCAGCGCCCCUCUGAAGAGUGACAGCUCCGCAAAAGCGGGAGGGAGCACCGAGCCCCGCGCCUCUACGAAACAGGUGCAUGCGCCGAUCUCCUGGUCAGUGGACCCAGCUUGCAAGCUUAUCCAGCAAAAGUAUUAACAUAUACAUUAACAACGUCGAAAGUAGCCUACUUUAAGAGAAAAUAUGCAGAAGAAGAAGAUUUACAUCAAGAUUACCAUGGGUAUUUUCCAAAACACCUGAUAUUGCCUGAGGACAGGACUUGCAUUCUCAAACUUUCUCUGGAGAAGCUCAGGUUUCUUGAAGACCCAGAAACCUACUUAAGAAGGUCUGUGUUAAUUAACAAUUUGCUGAGGAAGAUACAUCUAGAGACGGAGAAAGAGAGCUAUGAAUACUUUAAAGCAGCUCCGUGUUAUAAGACUGCUUAUUCUGAUACAAGAAAACGGCUGAAGUUCAUGGUACAGGAAUGCUGUUCUCAGUCUCUUUAUUAUGAAGAGCUGCAUUCAUAUCAUAUUGUGCCUUAUGCUUCGGAGAAUGCCAUUUAUGGAAUGGGCUACACUAGCAGCCACUUGGAGCAAAAUUCUCAGUUGCUUAUUUAUAAGAUGAAUUAAAGUAACCGUUAAGUUCAUUGAUACUUUGUUUCUAAAUGCCUGAACUGUUUAUAGUGAAGAUGUUACAAUAAGGCACGAAUUACCAGUGCACUUGAGAUCACAGAUGCCGUGCAUGCUGAACUGAGUGGAGAGAACCCUGGUUAUUACUCAGCAGUCCUGAGUACCAUCCAAAUAGAAAAUAAGUCCACAUAUUAUAAGUGCUUUACAGGCAAAGGUUUUUAUGCUCUUUUUAAGAUAAGAGGAUGUGUACAAGGGACCUAUGUGAAGUUCUUAUACUGAUUUAAACUUUUAAGCCCCCUGUUUCCAAAUUCUGCCACUCUUAGUGGCAAUUAACAAAAAAUGGCAUUGAACUGAUGAUGUGGUGUCCUUGAAUAUUAAGGGUGGAAUGAAUUUAGUUUUCUGUAAACAAUGAGGGGAAGAUAGGUUCUUUCUGAAAAGCUUUGGCUUGUCAAGCAUUGUGCCAAAUACUUGUUUGACACCAUUCUCCUCUUACCGUUAGUGGCAAUUCAAGAUGGGGCAAACGUAUUGCAACUUAACUGCUGAACGUAACAACCAGAUUACUCCAAACUGAUCCAUUUUAUUUUAUUUUAUUUUAUUUUAUUUUAUUUUAUUUUAUUUUUUAAUUUUAUUCUUGGCCUAAUAGACAUUUCUCUUAUAAGUAAAAUUUAAUAAAAUGAGCCUUGCAGAUGGGCUUAUCUGUAAGUUCUAGAGGUCAGUUAAAAUUUGUGGUGGGCCUUCAGUUAAGGGUUUACAUUUUAUUUAUGAUGUCAUUCUUACAGGCUGUGAAGCUCAGGAAAAGGGUAGGCAGGUCAAAUUUUUAAUAGGUUAAUAAUUUUAAAAAGUCUUAUCUGCAAAAAUUGGUGAAAACAACAGAAAUUCUACAUGAUGUUAUUUCUUCAUCGAGAAGUACAUUUAAGGCUGCCUGGAUGAAACUUUGCACUGAUUUUUGUAUAGUAGUUGACCAUUCACUAUUUGACAAAAUGUUUCAGAAUGCUUUUGGUAGUGAAGUUUAGAUAAGUCCCUAUAUUUUGCAAUUUGAAAGAUAAUUAUUUAACAAGUUGGGAUAGAUUCCUGAAAUUAUUUGAAGUGGUUCUUAAUGUUCUUUGAGGUUUGAGUGAGAUGUCUGAUUUCAGUGUCUGGAGUUAUGUUCUACGGAGCAUAGCUUUUAAAGAAUUGUUAUUAACUGAUAAAGCAGAUUGGGAAAACUAGGUGCCAAAGGUAUAUUCAAGAAAAUACCAAAGACCCAAAGAUGAGUGUUAGAGAGACUAUGAUAAUGAAGAUAAGAAUCUAAAAUAAGGGCUGCACAGGACAUAGAAGAACAUCGUUAAAGGGUUUUGGAAUGAAUUGCUUACUAAUGUGCUUUCAGAGCACUUUAUACAUAAUAAUGAAAAUCAAGGACACUGCUUUAAGUGAAGAUAUUACAGGCCUUCAGUGAUCAUACACUUUCACAAAUCUAAAUAUGGUGACUUGUCAACAUUGUACCUUCCCUAGUUGAAUGCCAUCUUGUGACCAAGACGUCUUCUUUUUAUUCAAGAGAAUUUUGUUUUUAGUUCCGAUUCACUAUUUGUCCCCUUUAAUGAAUCAUCAGGUGAGUCACGUGGAUGUUCUUGAUAUAAAUAUUGGUGCCCUAAUUAGCAUGGAUUGUUGUUGAAGAUUAUAUAGAUCUAUAAUUGAUAAGAGUAUCAGGUUUGUAUUUAAUUGCUCAAUCAGAAUUAUUAAAAAAUACUUUAGAACUGAAAAAUUAUAAUUGGAGCUAAUUUUUAAAGGCAAUUUUGUUUGAAUGGUGAGAUAGCUUUGAAAUAAAUAUAAAUAUUUAAGAAUUAAUUUAAGGGCAAAAUUUGGCACCAAAGUUCAAAAACUUUAUUUCAAUGCUUAUAGAAUAUCUUAUUUCUAAGAACACUUCUUUUAAAAGGUAGGUUUCUUAAACAAUGGGGAUAUUAAUUGAAUAGACUCCAAAUUAGAUAGGAUAAUUAUACUGCAUAUAAUUUAAAAAUAGGAUUAGCUCUCUAAUAGUUUUAACUUUUUUUUUCCCCACUGAGAGAAACAUUUGGUUUGGUUUAGGACAGUGUCUAUAAGAAAAACACACCAGUGUGAAUUGAUGAGACUUACAAAACUGCCAUAUACUGAAAUUGUUUGAGGAUAGAAAUGCAACUUUGGCAUAGAAUAGAGAAGGAGAGAAAAAAUUACCAAGAAAGUGUGAAAUUAUAUAGUUAGGGUGUGUCAAAAAUGUUAGACAAAGUAACAACUCUUGGGCAAUGAACCUGUAACAGAGGUAAAGUCUCUUUUAUUUGAUGACAUCAUUAACUGAGCUCUCUGAUCUACAUAUUCAUAUGUAGAAAAGGAACUGUCUUAGAAACAGUGGUAUUUGUGAAUAUGCUUUUUGAAAAAAUGAUUUCAAACCAAGUUAUUUAAAAAUAUCUUUAAGGGCAUUUAAUUUCUUGUCCAAUAAACAAUUCAUAGAUAAGGAGUGGACUAAUUUACUAUCUUGAUUUUUAUUUAAAUGAUGUAAACUUCUCUGAAUCAACCAAUAAGUUGCUGUUAUUUUAUCAUGGCAAACUGAAAUAUAGAGAGACUCCAUAUAGACCUGCUUUGCUAACCCCAUCCCAAACGUUCUAUUAUGGGAGAAGGAAAAGGUGGGAGACCAGUUAAAACUACCUUGAAUUUAGACAUCCUUUCUUUGGGAACAAAAGCCAUCUUUAGAGCAAGAAAGACAGGAUGAGAAACCUGAAUGCUUUUGGUAAUAUUGAUCACUUUUGUGGGUCAUCACUUUUGUGGGUCUUCAGCCGGAAGGCCUAGUAAAGAAGAAAAUUUUAAAAAGAGAGAAGAGGAAAAUGAAGAGAUGAGGAAGGAAAAAACUGUGUGCGCUC